GAUCAUGGCUCAGGAUGAACGCUAGCUACAGGCUUAACACAUGCAAGUCGAGGGGCAGCAUGGUCUUAGCUUGCUAAGGCUGAUGGCGACCGGCGCACGGGUGAGUAACACGUAUCCAACCUGCCGUCUACUCUUGGCCAGCCUCCUGAAAGGAAGAUUAAUCCAGGAUGGGAUCAUGAAUUCACAUGUCCGCAUGAUUAAAGGUAUUUUCCGGUAGACGAUGGGGA
rnacentral:rRNA from 1 species